UGGGGAAUAUUGGACAAUGGGGGCAACCCUGAUCCAGCAAUGCCGCGUGUGUGAAGAAGGUCUUCGGAUUGUAAAGCACUUUCGACGGGGACGAUGAUGACGGUACCCGUAGAAGAAGCCCCGGCUAACUUCGUGCCAGCAGCCGCGGUAAUACGAAGGGGGCUAGCGUUGCUCGGAAUGACUGGGCGUAAAGGGCGUGUAGGCGGUUUACACAGUCAGAUGUGAAAUCCCCGGGCUUAACCUGGGAGCUGCAUUUGAUACGUGUAGACUAGAGUGUGAGAGAGGGUUGUGGAAUUCCCAGUGUAGAGGUGAAAUUCGUAGAUAUUGGGAAGAACACCGGUGGCGAAGGCGGCAACCUGGCUCAUGACUGACGCUGAGGCGCGAAAGCGUGGGGAGCAAACAGGAUUAGAUACCCUGGUAGUCCACGCUGUAAACGAUGUGUGCUAGAUGUUGGGUACUUUGUUAUU
rnacentral:rRNA from 1 species